UACGUAGGGUGCAAGCGUUAAUCGGAAUUACUGGGCGUAAAGCGUGCGCAGGCGGCUUUGCAAGACAGAUGUGAAAUCCCCAGGCUCAACCUGGGAACUGCAUUUGUGACUGCAUGGCUGGAGUGCGGCAGAGGGGGAUGGAAUUCCGCGUGUAGCAGUGAAAUGCGUAGAUAUGCGGAGGAACACCGAUGGCGAAGGCAAUCCCCUGGGCCUGCACUGACGCUCAUGCACGAAAGCGUGGGGAGCAAACAGG
rnacentral:rRNA from 1 species